GGAGAGGUGGGUGAGUGGCUUAAACCAGCGGUUUGCUAAACCGUCGUGCUCUUAACGGGGCACCGGGGGUUCGAAUCCCCCCCUCUCCGCCA
rnacentral:tRNA from 1 species